UUGCCAGCCCGCUCAGAAACUUAAAGGAAUUGACGGGGGCCGCACAAGCGGCGGAGCAUGUGGAUUAAUUCGAUGCAACGCGAAGAACCUUACCUGGGUUUGACAUACACCGGAAAACCGUAGAGAUACGGUCCCCUUGUGGUCGGUGUACAGGUGGUGCAUGGCUGUCGUCAGCUCGUGUCGUGAGAUGUUGGGUUAAGUCCCGCAACGAGCGCAACCCUUGUCUUAUGUUGCCAGCACGUAAUGGUGGGGACUCGUAAGAGACUGCCGGGGUCAACUCGGAGGAAGGUGGGGACGACGUCAAGUCAUCAUGCCCCUUAUGUCCAGGGCUUCACACAUGCUACAAUGGCCAGUACAGAGGGCUGCGAGACCGUGAGGUGGAGCGAAUCCCUUAAAGCUGGUCUCAGUUCGGAUCGGGGUCUGCAACUCGACCCCGUGAAGUCGGAGUCGCUAGUAAUCGCAGAUCAGCAACGCUGCGGUGAAUACGUUCCCGGGCCUU
rnacentral:rRNA from 1 species